rnacentral:rRNA from 1 species
UACAGAGGUCCCAAGCGUUGUUCGGAUUUACUGGGCGUAAAGCGCGUGUAGGCGGCUUGGCAAGUCGGAUGUGAAAGCCCACGGCUCAACCGUGGAAGCGCAUCCGAAACGGCCUCGCUCGAGUCUCGGAGAGGAAGGUGGAAUGCUUGGUGUAGAGGUGAAAUUCGUAGAUAUCAAGCAGAACACCUGCGGCGAAGGCGGCCUGCUGGACGAUGACUGACGCUGAGACGCGAAAGCGUGGGGAGCAAACAGG